rnacentral:rRNA from 1 species
UGGUGGAGCGAUUUGUCUGGUUAAUUCCGAUAACGAACGAGACUCUAGCCUAUUAAAUAGUUCGCCGAUUUUUCGAGUCGGCGUCAACUUCUUAGAGGGACAGGUGGCGUUUAGCCACACGAGAUUGAGCAAUAACA